UACUUAGUUCAACAGGUGAAAAUGAAAGAGCUGACCCAAUAUUCAUUUUGCUUUCACAUCCUUUGUAUUUAAGGAUCACAUCUUGAAUGUAUCAACUCACAACAAUUUCCAUAAAAUAGGAAAGUGCUGAUCUCUAUUUUAAAGGUGGCGAGGGGAUCAAUACUGAGAUGCACAAAUGAAGAAUUGAGUGCUCACAUUGCCCGGGCUCAAAGCCAGCACGAUAUUUCAGUUGCAAUCUGUAAAGCAUGCAGUCACUCAUCCACAUUGUCUCUGGAUUGGAGCUGGCACUUGGGAGCUCGUGGGAAGAACUCCCAGUUGUCUUCACCUAUCCACCUACCCAUAGGUACGUAGGAUUCAUCAGGAUUUGGAUGCAAGUUUGAAAUAGCAUUUUCUAAAAUGGUUCUGCAGCCUUCAGACUCAAACUAUCUGAAGAGUAUCUAUAGCUCAGCUUUUGUUGGUCUCCACAGGCCUGGCAGUUUUGCCACAUAAAGUGGCACCUCCUUGGGUACCUACCUGUAACUGCUCAGCUGAGCAUCUCUGCUUCCCCACGGGGAUGUCAAGGGUACCAGCACAGUCAUGGCCUUGUGACACAAAAGUCCUGCUUCACAUGAGACAGAUUUUGAGGAGAUCUGGGGUAGAAAGAUGGUGGGGAAUGGAUUAAAGUCUUAGAGAAAUAAACAGAGGAAAGGGGCUGGAGAUGUGAACUAGUACAGGUUGCGCAAGACCAUGACAAAUUUACUUAGAUAAAGUAAUUUACUUAAAUAAAGCUCCUCAUUUUUGGGCUCUCAAACUAAGGGUAGCGUUACCAGCAUCAAGUUAACAUCAAUUCAGUUAUGAACAUGAAUAUUGAACAAAAACACUGAUUCUGCUCCUUGAUAGGACUUGGGAGUUUGGCUCAAGUUCAUGCCUAAACUCUGCUGAGUUAUCAGGAACCAGAUGUUCUUCAGUUAGUUGUGCCCCAAAACACCUGCAGUUUUGCAGUGGGCAGCACAGUAAUGGAUUAACACUGGCAACACCCCUCCAGAAUAAAUGGGAAUGCCCCACCUGGCUCCUUCCCUGCCUGAAGGAUCAAGCAUAUGCCCAUUUAUUCUCUUCUCAGCAGGAAAGUUCAUGUUAAAUUCCCAGCGGUGCUGCCCCCAAGGGCCUGUUGAGCAAGCUGUGGGCACUGAGCUGGGAAAGAGGUGUUCUCCCAGGGGAUAACCCUCUGGAGUGGGCAAACAGAAAAGUACUGACACGUUGGUGUGGGAAAGGGAGAGUGCAAGUAAUUGUGAAAACACACAGAGGAAAUGGUUUUGGUAGGUGAGAAUAAGCAAGACCACCCUCACUCACAAGUACCAUUUCAAUAUAAUGCAAAGGAGACCAGAAGAUCAGGAAAUGAUAAUGUAAAUUAAUAAAUAGAUAACUAAAGGGCUACACAGGAAUGUUUCUUUCAUCAUUAGUACAAUUUUCUGUAAGCCUCUCUUCUGAUGCUUAUAGAGCUUCUUAGGGCAAUAAUUAUAGUUGCAAAUAGUUCCAACAACAGUAACACAUGGAAUGGCAAUGGAACUGUGCAAUGCAUGGGUUGCUUGACACCCCAUAGUCAAGUUAGUAUUUUUGUUUCAAGUACUGUAAGGUCUGGAUCAAUCAGUACUAAUACACUAAGCAACAGCUGAAAAGUGAAAAACAUUCUAGAGGAAAUACUGCUAUGAUUUAAAAAAGAAGUAUUGAAAGCUUGCAAUCUACUGUGCUAUUUACAGCUAUAUAACAAGGCCCUCUACAAGUUAAUCCUACUGUGGGCAGUGUGAGUGUACUGUGGAGCUCACUGAAACUCAGGGACGAAAGAGAGAAGUUGUCUAUUUGAGGCUCCAGCUUGGAGGAGAAAUACACAGGUUAGCUCCAAACAAGCUGCUUGAGGUGUAGAGGAGCAGCCAGGGCUGGAAAAUGGAGCUUGACAAGGGCAGUGGCAUUCUGUGAUAGACAACUCAAGAUCAACCUGCAAGCUUUUCAGGAUUUACAAGUAAACUUGAACUGGAGCCCAGAUUUGAGAAAAGGUAGAAUCAAAUAACAGUUUUUCUGUAAAAUUAAGUAAGGCUGGAAGUCAGGUUUUGAAGUUUUGCCUUUUUUUGAAUCUGAAACUCAGGAAUCCAGUGCCAGCCUGAAGCAUGGGGAAGAAAAGAAAGCAGGAUUUAUUCCAUGAACAAUUUAUUAUUUAGUAAUCACCCAGUCUUUGGUUCACCUAGUUAUUUAUGGCCUAAAAAUUCAUUAAUUUUCCAGGUAUUUAAUAAAGAUGCAGAAUGUUUAGAAAUGCUGACAUCAUCCUACAGCUGUGUGCACAUGAGGAAUAGGCCUCAAAUGAGUUCCCACUACCUUCAACAAGAAAGUGUGAUUGGCAUGAAACAUUAAAUUAGCAGAGUUCAGUUUCUUGGUAUGUUUUCACCCUCCCAUAAUGCAGAAAAAAAUAAAGCACAAAUGUAGUUCCAUCAUGAAGUUUUAAAAAGCCAUUCAAGUUUCCUAAACAAUCAAUUUCUUUACAUUUGCUGAUUAAACAAUUUUCUUAUACGGUCACUGUUUUAAAUACAUGGCAUGUACUUCACAGAAACAUUGCACUGCAGAAAUUCUUGUGAUUUAUCUGCAUUGAGACUCCUAAAGAUCUAUUACAGCAGACAAAUCUUUUUCUUUAAGUACUUGAAUGACAAACAACAAAAGUAAAUCUUCAUUCUUACUUCAUUCUAAAUUUAUUGCCUCUCAUAUCUGACUGAGACCUUUCUGUGAAUGAGCACAGGAGCAACAGGUACUGAUAUAAUGAAGUAUCUUACUGAAAGUUUGCUGCGUAGCUGUUUGGUGGACUUGGCAGGGUUAGGCUUGUGGUUGGACUCUUGCCUUAAAGAUCCUUUCCAACAUAAAAGAUUCUAUUCUAUGAAUCUACUGAAAGUACUGGAAAUCUGGUAGUCUAUUUGUCAGAAAAAAAUUCCUAUUGCAAAGCUACAACAUUUUAUUUGCAUCAAAGGCUUCUUCUCAGUUCAUUUAAUCUGUGGCAAGUAUUAAUUAAUGAUCAAGCUUUUCUCUUUUGUUUCCUUUUUGGAUAUAUUAUUUAUGUUUUCAUGUCUUAUUUACACCAUUGCAAAUCUAGCAUAAAAGACAAAGGAGCAAAGCCCUCUGUCUCUUAAUCAUUUUUUAAGAAUUCAAAUUUUUUAUGUUAGCAUCAGAAUCAAAAUUUUAUUAAUCUGGUUUUAUACUUGUAUAUAAACUCAUUUGUUAGCAAUCAGCAUUUUCAGAAAAAUUCUUGAAGCCAGUGACAGGUUAAGACCACACUUGCAGUGAUUGCAGCACUUGUGUGAAUAGAUGAGGCAGGAUUACCAAGUGUGUUAAGUGUCUUUUGUGGGGGCAUAAUAGGCAGUAAAUCUGUACUGGCUUUAUUCUUGCCAGCCCUCAUCAGCAUUUUGCUGAGCACAUUCCACCUUUGUGCUUGGUAUAACACAUGCUUCACUAGAUGGGACUCCCAGAUGUUGAUGGGUUCAGCCAAAUGUGCUUGCUGAAAUAUGGCAAAAAGUGUGUGUAUGACCCUGGAGAAAGGUGUAAAGCACAAUUCUGAUGAGGAGCAGCUGAGGGAGCUGUGGAUGUUUAGUCUGGAUAAAAGGAGGCUCAUGGUGGACUUUAUUACUCUGUACAACUGCCUUAAAAGAGGAUGUAGAAAGGUGGGGUCAGUCUCUUCUUGUGAGUAACAAGUAAUAGAACAAGUGGAAAUGGCCUCAAGUUGCACCAGGGAAGGUUUAGAUGGGGUAUUAGAAAAAAUUUCCUCAUGGAAAGGGUUUUCAAGCGCUGGAACAGACAGCCCAGUGAAGUGGUUGAGUCACCAUACCUGGGGGUAUUUAAAAGAUGUGCAUAUGUGGCAUUCAGGGACAUGGUUUGGUGGUGGACUUGGCAGUGCUGGGUUAGCAGUUGAGCUGUAUAGAUUUAAAAAUAAAUUAUUCCAACCUAAAUGAUUCUGUGGUUGUGUAGUUCUAUGAUAAUCAAUGCCACAUACCAAAAUACUAUUUUCUUCUUGGCUUGUAAUAUCUUCUUUAUGUCUGUGUUUUACAUAGGGAAGGAGGGGAUAUUCUUGCUGAAUAGUUCUCAUUCCAUUUGCUAGUGCAGGACUGACUAGGGACAGCCUGAUCUCAAUUUCUAAUUUCAGGGGUAAAAUGGUCUUAUUGGAGUCUGCACCAGAUGGAAAUGUAAGAUCCAGCCCAUUGCAAGUGGAAUGAAUUGUUUUACAUAUUUGAAUUUGAUAAAAUUUAUAUUGCAUUGUGACUUACAACCACCAGCAAGAUAAUCAACACUGUUUAGUUCUCACCCUUGUGUUUGUUCAUAUUUGAGUAAGCAUGCUGGAUGGAUCUGGUAGCAAAACCUUCACUAUUUGAUAAGACUGUUUAUGCUUUUCUUGUUAUUGUCAGACUUGAGGAAAGCAUUCAUUCUAAUUCUAGUCAUUAGAGCUGUACACAUUUUCACACUUGGGUUUUUUGAUACUGCGGUUAAACCAACAAUAACUUUGGGAUAACUUAAUAUUGAAACUUGGAGUCUAGAACAAUAAAAUUUCUCCCAGUGAAUAAAAAUAAAAAUAGUUUAUAACCAA